rnacentral:rRNA from 1 species
GAUGAACGCUGGCGGUAUGCUUAACACAUGCAAGUCGAACGGACUCUUCGGAGUUAGUGGCGGACGGGUGAGUAACGCGUGAGAAUCUGGCUUUGGGUUCGGGACAACCACUGGAAACGGUGGCUAAUACCGGAUGUGCCGAGAGGUAAAAGAGAAAUUGCCUGAAGAUGAGCUCGCGUCUGAUUAGCUAGUUGGUGAGGUAAAGGCUCACCAAGGCAGCGAUCAGUAGCUGGUCUGAGAGGAUGACCAGCCACACUGGGACUGAGACACGGCCCAGACUCCUACGGGAGGCAGCAGUGGGGAAUUUUCCGCAAUGGGCGAAAGCCUGACGGAGCAAUACCGCGUGAGGGAAGAAGGCUCUUGGGUUGUAAACCUCUUUUCUUAGGGAAGAACAAAAUGACGGUACUUAAGGAAUCAGCAUCGGCUAACUCCGUG